AGAACGAACGCUGGCGGCAUGCCUAAUACAUGCAAGUCGAACGAACACUUCGGUGUUAGUGGCGCACGGGUGCGUAACGCGUGGGAAUCUGCCCUUGGGUUCGGAAUAACAGUUGGAAACGACUGCUAAUACCGGAUGAUAUCGAAAGAUCAAAGAUUUAUCGCCCAGGGAUGAGCCCGCGUAGGAUUAGCUAGUUGGUGAGGUAAAGGCUCACCAAGGCGACGAUCCUUAGCUGGUCUGAGAGGAUGAUCAGCCACACUGGGACUGAGACACGGCCCAGACUCCUACGGGAGGCAGCA
rnacentral:rRNA from 1 species